AUAAAACCAGGGUAACUUGCCUUCCCACCUCCAGACAACUCCUUCCUUUCCAGCCUUGUAAGCAAAGCUUAAUGAUGCAUGUAAUGGCAGCAAAAAAUGGCAUUACCAUGGCAAUUAAAGCAUAGUGAGGCGUAUUCACUGAGGAAAGCUGGUCAAAAGUUGCUGAUAGAAGCUCACUAAGAACAUUGAUUGUGAGAAAGAUGCAUUCUGGGGUGCUGACCUAUCAAAUAACACCCCCCCCCCAAAUAAAUAAAUAAAUAAAAUUAUAGUCAGUAAACUAGAGGCAAAUGUUCCAAGAAGUGGUAAAAUUUUAGCCUCAUAAUACUAUUUUGGUUUUAGGGUUUAGCUUACCCUCUGGGGUUGAACCAUAUCUGGGCACUAACCCAACUUGAUUAAGAAACAAAGCAAUGGCAUAGAAUCCUGCUGUUAUCGCCAUAGAUGAAUUGUUGUGGUACUUUAGCUUCAGGGAUAUCUUCUUCAUCAAUGGUAGUCGUAAUUGGUUCCAAGCUUCGAC
rnacentral:lncRNA from 1 species